GGAGUGGGCCGGAUGGCCGCGCGAACACUUCGCGAAUGGAUUUCAUAUCUGUUUGGAAUGGUCGUGAGGAAAGUCCGGACUCCACAGGGCAGGAUGCCAGCUAACGGCUGGGCGGGGCGACCCGACGGAAAGUGCCACAGAAAAGAAAACUCCGAUCCUGCCGUAGGGCAGGAUCGGAAAAGCUGAAACGGUGUGGUAAGAGCGCACCAGCGUCUGGGCAACCGGGCGGCUUGGCAAACCCCAUCCGGAGCAAAGGCGAAUAGGAGCGCUUUCGGUUGGCCCGACCGGCGCUCGGGUUGCCUGCUUGAGGGUCGUGGCGACACGGCUCCCAGAUAAAUGGUCAUCUCGGCCCCCGGUGCGCCUUGUGCGACGUGGGCUAUGACAGAAUCCGGCUUACAGGCCCACUCCAGAC
rnacentral:RNase_P_RNA from 1 species